rnacentral:tRNA from 1 species
GGUCACACGGUCAGUGGUUAGAGCGUAGGUCUCAUAACCGAAAAGUUGCGAGAUCGAAUCCCGCUAGAGGCUA